UCCAAGUUAGGUCUAUUAAUGAAUGCAGCAUUCAUUUCACUCCCCCUUUGUUUUGGAAUUCAUUUCAGACCUUUUUUUUGUUUAAAAUAGUUAUUACAAGAUGUGCUCCCCCUGUUUUAUAUGCAUUGAUAAGUUGUGUCAAGUUUGAACACUUAAGGUAUGUUAUGAGAUUUUUAUGGCACAUCACAGAAUCACAUACACAAAGUUUCAAAGGAAUUGUAUGACAUUCAUAUAUCAUUGCAAUCAUUUGAAGUCAUUACAAAGUUAAGAGAGGAAAUCAUUACAAGUAUUGAUUCCUAAUACAAAAGAAGUUUCAAAAUGAGCCUAGGGUUUUACAAAACAGAUGAACCCUAGAUUUUUUACAAAAUGUCCCUCAU
rnacentral:lncRNA from 1 species